UUAUAUUUAGAAACUAUAUGAUUUAAGCAUAUUAAGUAAAUGUGUUUUCUUGUUUAAAUUUUAAUCUUUAAAAUAUAUAUUGUAUAUAUAUCUUACUGUACAGUAUGGGAUUUGCUCAUUAUUGACAGUUGUUAAUUCUCUGCUAUGUAGAUAUUUCAUUGACAACCAUUCCACAUCUCCUUUUUUAUUUCGUUGGUAUGCUUGGUGUCAUGUAAUAUAAUUAAUUAUGGAUUUAGUCCCCCCAAAUUUACAGUGCAAUGGACAUUAAUAAUGGUACAAUCCCCAGUGGUCAAGCAGCUUUUGUGCAAUCCGUUUGUCAGCUAACAGAUUCUCUAGGUUCUCCUUUCCCUCAUUAUUUUGUAUUAUGUCUUUCAGGAAAUGGUACUUUUUGCUGACCUCAAUCUGUAGCCGGGAGAAUGAUUGAUUAAAAUUUGAUAUGAAGGAUUUAUGAGUGGGAUGUUUCAUCUUCAAUGCCUUAUACUUGAUGCAGUCAUCCACAUCGGUUGAUGGGCCCAGUAACUGAACAGCCAGGUCAAAAGGGGUCUUCUUUCUACUAGAUACUGAAAUAAAAAAAAAUGCGAAGUUGAUGGUUGAUCCUCGUUGGCAGGUUCUUUGGUGCCACUACUGCCUUGAAAUUCUAUGGAGAGAAAAAAAUGCAGGUAUGUUGUGCUGGUAGUUGUCUGUUGACUCAGAUGGCAAGUCUACAAAAAACAUCAGUAGUUUCUGGAGGAUGACCGGAAGUGGUGCAUGUCUGGACCUUCGAUGUGAAAAGGUUCAUCAUCAGGACCAUCAUGGAAGAUCAUGUUACCAUCUUCCAUAUGCCACCAAACUCCUUCGCCAGACUUUCUCUAAACCAGAGUGUAGUAUUUAUGUGUUGCAGCCAACAGAGAAAAGUAACAAAAGGACCAAAAACUACCACUACAACUGAAUUGUUUAAAUCCGACAUCCAAGUUUGCAUUUGAUGUACAUGAAUAUUGCUUUAUAGCUUUGUGUUACUAAUUUGGUAAUACAAUUUCAGUGAAAUUGGAAAUAAUUUUGAUACAUGUAAUACAAUUUUA